rnacentral:rRNA from 1 species
CCUACGGGAGGCAGCAGUGAGGAAUAUUGGUCAAUGGGCGAAAGUCUGAACCAGCCAAGUAGCGUGAAGGAUGACUGCCCUAUGGGUUGUAAACUUCUUUUAUAUGGGAGUAAAAUGUUCCACGUGUGGGAUUUUGUAUGUACCAUAUGAAUAAGGAACGGCUAACUCCGUGCCAGCAGCCGCGGUAAUAAGGAGGAUCGGAGCGUUAUCCGGAUUUAUUGGGUUUAAAGGGAGCGUAGGUGGAUUGUUAAGUCAGGUGUGAAAGGUUGCGGCUCAACCGUAAAAUUGCAGUUGAAACUGGCAGUCUUGAGUACAGUAGAGGUGGGCGGAAUGCGCGGUGUAGCGGUGAAAUGCUUAGAUAUCACGAAGAACUCCGAUUGCGAAGGCAGCUCACUGG